ACGUGUGCUACAAGGCAGUACAUUUUGUUAUUGUUCGACUGAUAACAGCUCGGCCUGCAGAUAACUCUGCAAUGAAGCAAUCGAAUGACAUCGAUGCGUUAAAGUCAUGUAUCGAGCACCUAAGAGAUGAAAACUGCGCAAAACUGCCAAUGAGGAGCCAAUGCUGUGGCCGCCUUCCAAACCAACGAGACUGGCGAUCAUGCCAUCUCUGUGAGCUCCCUCAAGCUCUGUACUCGAAGUUACUAGACGCAUACCAGUUGGAUGUUUCGAUGUUAAUCUUCUGACAAGAUCGAUUUGUUCCAAUGUCAGUUGAACGGCAUCGAGAAACUGAGCCUCACAAGGAACG